GGCUCGGUGGUGGGUGGCCCACGCUCGUAUUAUAAUGCUAUGCACAGCACAUGUCGUACACUUUGCGAGAACCGCGCGUUCGAUUCGCGCCUGAGCCA